rfam:Glycine max cultivar Williams 82 chromosome 17, whole genome shotgun sequence.
AUACCUUUCUCGGCCUUUUGGCUAAGAUCAAGUGUAGUAUCUGUUCUUAUCAGUUUAAUAUCUGAUAUGUGGGCCAUUGGUCCACACGAUAUUAAAUUACUUUUUUUAAGGGGAGAGGCCAACACAGUAGCUUGCUAUUGGGUCUCUCGUGUGUCGCCAUGCGUUGCACUUUAGCACGGGCCUGGCACACCCUAC